rnacentral:rRNA from 1 species
GACGAACGCUGGCGGCGUGCUUAACACAUGCAAGUCGAACGAUGAAGCCGGAGCUUGCUCCGGUGGAUUAGUGGCGAACGGGUGAGUAACACGUGAGCAAUCUGCCCUUGACUCUGGGAUAACUGCGGGAAACUGUAGCUAAUACCGGAUACGACACCUUGGGGCAUCCCAGGGUGUGGAAAGAAUUUCGGUCAAGGAUGAGCUCGCGGCCUAACAGCUAGUUGGUGAGGUAAUGGCUCACAAAGGCGACGACGGGUAGCCGGCCUGAGAGGGUGACCGGCCACACUGGAACUGAGACACGGUCCAGACUCCUACGGGAGGCAGCAGUGGGGAAUAUUGCACAAUGGGCGAAAGCCUGAUGCAGCAACGCCGCGUGAGGGAUGAAGGCCUUCGGGUUGUAAACCUCUUUUAGCAGGGAAGAAGCGAAAGUGACGGUACCUGCAGAAAAAGCACCGGCUAACUACGUGCCAGCCGCCGCGGUAA